GUUGGUCUCACCAAGGGGAAGGGAAGAUGAUGGGGGCGCCAGCUUGAAGUGCAAGUUGUGAGCGUCAGGAGCAGGGUCAGUGAGAGCAGGAGCCAUCGCAGCCAUUCAGCACAGGAAAGAGGGUGGGAGAGGGGAAGGGGCUUCUUCCCCAAAGGGGGAAGCCGAGGUAGGCCACGCUGUCCUCUGGCAGUUCCAAGGAGGGUCACC